GUAUCAAUAUCAGCAGUAAAAUAAAUCGGCUACGAACCGAGCGGUCGGAGGUUCGAAUCCUCCCGGAUGCACCA
rnacentral:tRNA from 1 species